CGUGAGGGAAAGGUGAAAAGAACCCCGGGAGGGGAGUGAAAUAGUACCUGAAACCGUAUGUCUACAAGCAGUCGAAGCGAAAGCGACGGCGUGCCUAUUGAAGAAUGAACCAACGAGUUAUCUGCACUAGCGAGGUUAAGUGGAAGACACGGAGCCGCAGCGAAAGCGAGUCUUAAGAGGGCGCUAGUUAGUGUAGGUAGACCCGAAACCGCAGUGAUCUACCCAUGUCCAGGUUGAAGCGCAGGUAAAAUUGCGUGGAGGACCGAACCGGUGAGCGUUGAAAAGCUUUCGGAUGAGAUGUGGGUAGGGGUGAAAUUCCAAUCGAACGCGGAGAUAGCUGGUUCUCCCCGAAAUAGCUUUAGGGCUAGCCUGAGGUAGUAAGUAUAGGCGGUAGAGCACUGAUCGGGCUAGGGGCCGUAAAGGUUACCGAACCCUGUCAAACUCCGAAUGGAUAUACUGUAGAGCCUUGGAGUCAGACUACGAGUGAUAAGAUCCGUGGUCAAAAGGGAAACAGCCCAGACCACCAGCUAAGGUCCCCAAUGUCGUACUAAGUGGAAAAGGAUGUGGGGUUUCAUAAACAACCAGGAUGUUGGCUCAGAAGCAGCCACCAUUUAAAGAGUGCGUAAUAGCUCACUGGUCGAGAGACCCUGCGCCGAAGAUUCCCGGGGCUAAAGUACGAAACCGAAGCUGUGGCUGUAUACGUAAAGUAUACGGGGUAGGGGAGCGUUCCCAUAGGGUAGAAGUCGAACUGGAAGGUUCGGUGGACUUGUGGGAAGUGAGAAUGUUGGUAUGAGUAGCGAAAAGAAAGGUGAGAAUCCUUUCCACCGAAAGCAUAAGGAUUCCUGAGCAACGAUCGUCGUCUCAGGGUAAGUCGGGACCUAAUCCGAGGCAGAGAGCGUAGGAGAUGGACAACUGGUUGAUAUUCCAGUACCGGUAGUAAUUGUUUGAGCAAUGGAGUGACACAGAAGGGCAGGCAAGCAUGCGAAUGGAAGAGCAUGUGUAAGCGUGUAGGGUGGUGCAUAGGCAAAUCCGUGCACUGAAAGCCUGAGGCGUGAUGCGGAGUGAGCAGAGAUGCGAGCGAAGUUGUUGACCCCACACUGUCGAGAAAAGCUUCUAGUGAGAGAGCUACCGCCCGUACCGUAAACCGACACAGGUAUGCGGGGAGAGAAUCCUAAGGUGCGCGGGAGAACCCUCGUUAAGGAACUCGGCAAAAUGUACCCGUAACUUCGGGAUAAGGGUAGCCACUGUUGUGAAGUCCCAUGCGGAUGGAGCAUAGAGUGGUCGCAGAGAAGAGGCCCAAGCGACUGUUUACCAUAAACACAGGUGCCUGCUAAAGCGAAAGCUGACGUAUAGGUGCUGACACCUGCCCAGUGCCGGAAGGUUAAGGAAGGAUGUUCGGAGUAAUCCAAAGCAUUCGACUGAAGCCCCGGUGAACGGCGGCCGUAACUAUAACGGUCCUAAGGUAGCGAAAUUCCUUGUCGGGUAAG
rnacentral:rRNA from 1 species